GGAUGUGAAGGCCAUCUGGCCAUGGCAUCAAUCACCUCGUUGACUGUAAGUCUUGAAUCAGCUAGUUGGCUAUAUUGUGUUCCCUUCCUUCCCUGCACCCAUGUGCAUCCCUUCCCCCAGGAGCUGCGACAUCAGUCAAAGCAAACAACCUUUCCAAUGGAGGAGGUCUAUUCUUGAUCACGGGUAUGUGAGUAUGUAUGCUUCCCUAUUAGAGUACUAAUAAAAUUAACCCAUUAGGGCCAAAUAAGCUCUCAGGAAGUAGUGAGGCAAAUCGAUAAGCUGUGGGACACAGUAAGAGGCUAAUCUGUUCCUCCAC
rnacentral:snRNA from 1 species